AGUGGUUAAGAGCUUGGCUGUUAACCAAAAGUUUGGUAGUUCGAAUCUACCAACUGCUC
rfam:Loxodonta africana unplaced genomic scaffold scaffold_23, whole genome shotgun sequence.